AUUGAACGCUGGCGGCAGGCUUAACACAUGCAAGUCGAGCGGGGAAGGGUAGCUUGCUACCUAACCUAGCGGCGGGCGGGCGAGUAAUGCUUAGGAAUCUGCCAUUUAGUGGGGGACAACAUUCCGAAAGGAAUGCUAAUACCGCAUACGUCCUACGGGAGAAAGCAGGGGAUCUUCGGACCUUGCGCUAAAUGAUGAGCCUAAGUCGGAUUAGCUAGUUGGUGGGGUAAAGGCCUACCAAGGCGACGAUCUGUAGCGGGUCUGAGAGGAUGAUCCGCCACACUGGGACUGGAACACGGCCCAGACUCCUACGGGAGGCAGCAGUGGGGAAUAUUGGACAAUGGGCGGAAGCCUGAUCCAGCCAUGCCGCGUGUGUGAAGAAGGCCUUAUGGUUGUAAAGCACUUUAAGCGAGGAGGAGGCUACUUAGAUUAAUACUCUAGGAUAGUGGACGUUACUCGCAGAAUAAGCACCGGCUAACUCUGUGCCAGCCGCCGCAGUAA
rnacentral:rRNA from 1 species